GGCAGUUUCCUUUGGAGUCUUCUCCUUGCAGAAGAGAACCUUCUGUUCAACAGCUGAAAUAUCCAUUGUUUCCUUCACCCAUCUUACAUGCUUCUGGUUCACAUUGGGCAUACAUGACACAUGGCAUAUGAUACACUGACUGCAUGGCAAUGUUCUCACAAUGAUGAAAAGCAUGUACUGCCAGCUUUCAAACCGACCAAGGAAUUAAAGAUAAAUCUCAGCUAUUCCAUUUCAUUGAUGCACAG